AUGGAGUGUUAUUUCCUUCUAGAAGAAAGACCGAAUCAGAACUUGAGUUAUUCAGACUCUGAUUGGUGUGGAGACAAAGUUGACAGAAGAAGUACUUCUGGGUACUUAUUCAAAUUUCUAGGAGGUCCUAUUUCUUGGUGUUCUAAGAAGCAACCUGUUGUUGCGUUGUCAACCUGUGAAGCUGAGUAUAUUACAGACGCUCCGACUGCAUGUCAAACUGUGUGA